rnacentral:rRNA from 1 species
GCGUCCACCACCGUCCACGACAGACGCGCACGCACAGAGCACCACACCACACCACCACCGCCGCCGGCCCCGGUUAACCCCCCUCUGGCCUCCUCCCCUUCCGUUUCAAAAAUCAAACACCCCGGACGGAAACCCUCUUUCCUCUCCCCCCUCCCUCCCGGCCGUUGCGGUGGCGAAUCCGGGCUGCGACGCGGGGCCGGCGGCGUGACCCUCCGUCCCCUCCUCCGCCGCGUCCCCUUCGUCGGGUCGCCAAUCCACCUCGUCCCACCCCGCCCCGCCUCGCCUCGUCUCGUCUCCCAACUUUUUCCGAUCUCCUCGUCGCUAAGCAAACAAACCCUUAUUAACCCCCCGCCGAAGCAGAUGUUCGCCUGGAGAAAAGGGCGCCACUUGCACUGGGCUAGGCACUCUGCUCCCCGGUGCGACUAGAGUAGAGUAGAGCCGGAGCGCCUGGUACGUGCCACUGGGUGCAGCCGAGAUUCCUUCUUGCCCUCGACUGGGUUCCGGCGGAUUGGUUGGUGUUGUUCUUGCGGAUUCUUUCUCCGUUCUUGGCAAGUUCGCCGUCCUGCUCCUGUGCUACUGCGGCGCCGGUGCCGGUGAGGAGGAAGGCUGCCAAGAUUGCUCGGGGGCCAGGGGGGAGCAGCCGCCGGUGCCCGGCCUCGGAGUGGCCGCCCCAGCCCGUCUAUGGAAGUUGCCGCCCCGACUCCAUGCCACGGCCUGGAACCAAAUUGCCGAGCACGGCACGGCUUGCCUGCCCUUCUGACGCUGCUUGUCACUCUGGUGCCCGUCUUCUGCUUCGUUCUUGCUCCGGAUCGGCCAAUUGCGGCGGGCCUGCUAUGACGGUGGUCAUGGGUCGGCGCCGGUGCGCUCACUGGAUGCUGCUGCUCUUCUGUUGCCUCCUCCUCACGUCCCCCUCACAUGGUCAUCGUCACAAUCGACCCGCUGACGCGUUUGUCGGGGGAUACGGGAUAAACUACGGGAGAAUAGCGAACAACCUCCCGUCUCCGGACAAGGUGGUGGAGCUCCUCAGGAGGUCCAAGAUAAGGAAUGUCAAGAUAUAUAAUGAAGAUCACACUGUGCUCGACGCGUUCAAAGGGACAGGGCUCAACCUGGUCAUUGCUGUCCACAAUGGGUUGCUGAAUGCUUUUGCUGCAAAUGAGAGCGUCGCGAUUGACUGGCUGAAUGAGAACGUGCAGCCUUACAUUUCUCAGACACGCAUUGUUGGAAUCACUGUGGGGAAUGAGGUGCUGGGAGGCGAUCCGAGCUUGGCCGCUCCGCUCGUUGGAGCUGUUAAGAAUAUGUACGAUGGUCUCAAGAAACUGCAUCUGGAUGACAAAAUUGAGCUUUUCACACCUCACUCUGAAGCUGUUUUCGCUACUUCCUAUCCGCCCUCUGCAUGUGUUUUCAAGGAAGAAAUCAUGGUGUAUAUGAAACCGCUGCUGGACUUGUUUUCACGGAUCGGCUCACCUUUCUAUGUCAAUGCAUAUCCCUUUUUGGCGUACUUAACUGAUCCGGGGCAGAUCGACAUUAAUUAUGCUCUCUUUCAGCCCAACCCUGGAGUAGUUGAUCCGAAUACUAGUCUGCACUAUGACAACAUGUUUGAUGCUCAGAUAGAUGCAGCUUACGCUGCUCUGCAGGCUGCUGGUUAUAAUGACAUGGAAGUCCGGGUGGCAGAGACUGGCUGGGCUUCUAGUGGAGAUCAAAAUCAAGCAGGACCAUCAGUUGAGAAUGCAAGGACUUACAAUUACAACCUCCGUAAGAGGCUCUUUUUGAGGAAGGGAACUCCUCUCAAGCCAAAGAUACCAGUCAAAGCAUACAUCUUUGCCUUGUUUAAUGAGAACUUGAAGAAUGGAGAUCCUACUGAGAAGCACUAUGGGCUCUUCAAUCCAGAUGGAAGGAUUUCAUAUGAUAUCGGUUACUCAGGUCUAUUACCUUCAUCAGCACCCGCAUCCUUGCUGUCAAUUAAGGAGAUGCGAGCCUGGGGUUGGAUUGCACACUAUUCGGCUGCGGUUAUCCUAGCUAUUUUCUUGUCUUAGGCUUAGUGACUUGAUGAUUAUAGAAUAGCACAUCUGUUAAGGGUACAAUGAAGAUGAGGAGUUAGAAUGCCUGCUUGUACUGGGAAACUCAGAAUGGAAAUUCAAAUAAUGGUUCCCUGCACACCAGUUUCGUUUGUGUUCCCCUCACCCCUUUUACCUGUGAAAAGAACAUGGUUUUGAAUUUUUACUGUAUAUAUAUUUAUUUUAGCGUUAGAAAUGCAGUAUGAAGCUUAUCAUCCUCUGCAACCUAUCAAAAUUUUACCAUGCCAAGUGCCAAGAAAAAAUGGACUUGG